CAUCACCUACGGGAGGCAGCAGUAGGGAAUCUUCCACAAUGGACGAAAGUCUGAUGGAGCAACGCCGCGUGAGUGAAGAAGGGGUUCGGCUCGUAAAGCUCUGUUGGUAGUGAAGAAAGAUAGAGGUAGUAACUGGCCUUUAUUUGACGGUAAUUACUUAGAAAGUUACGGCUAACUACGUGCCAGCAGCCGCGGUAAUACGUAGGUGGCGAGCGUUAUCCGGAAUGAUUGGGCGUAAGGGGCGCGUAGGCGGCCUGCUAAGUCUGGAGUGAAAGGUACCGGCUCAACCGGUACA
rnacentral:rRNA from 1 species